CGCGAAGAACCUUACCACGGGCUUGACAUCCUCUGACCGCAUAUGAAAGUAUGUUUUCUGGCUCGGUCAGACAGAGAGACAGGUGGUGCAUGGUUGUCGGUCAGCUCGCGUCGUGAGAUGUUGGGUUAAGUCCCGCAACGAGCGCAACCCCUACGUUUAGUUGCUAACGUGUAACGAUGAGCACUCUAGGCGGACUGCCGUUGACAAAACGGAGGAAGGUGGGGAUGACGUCAAAUCAUCAUGCCCCUUAUGUUCUGGGCUACACACGUGCUACAAUGGCCGGUACAAAGGGACGCAAAGCCGCGAGGUGGAGCAAAUCCGAUAAAAGCCGGUCUCAGUUCGGAUUGCAGGCUGCAAUUCGCCUGCAUGAAGUCGGAAUCGCUAGUAAUCGCAGGUCAGCAUACUGCGGUGAAUACGUUCCCGGGCCUU
rnacentral:rRNA from 1 species